ACAUCACAGUAUGGAACAUGCUUCCCCCUUUGCAAGUCUGUUAAAACCAUACUAUUCUGCUCUGCCAUUAGCUCUUGUUGACCGUGGGCAUCUAUCUUUGAGGUGUAUGAGAAAAUUGCAUUUUUAUUAGCCUGAUUUUUUUUUCUGUUUUCUUGCUCUAUUGUUCACUGUCCAGAGCCUUAAUGAUUAGGGCAGUCUACAAAUAUUACCAAUAGUGUUCUUUGUUAUUUAUGGCCAGGUUGGCAGUGGAGAUUCUCAGCCCCUGGGGACUUCAACUUGCCUUCCUCAGGGGUGGAGUCAGAGGUGGCUCAGGAGUUCAUGGUCACCAUGAGAGCCAUGGGUCUGACCCAAGUCAUCAAGGUCCUGACACAUGACAAUGGUUAUACGGAUGUGAGGGAGAUGAAAUGGUUGAAAAGAAGCCUAGAGUACCACUGGAGGACAUUGAGGAAUAAACCCGACUGAGCUUGAGCAAGAGCUGCUAUUAGGGCCUAACUUGUGAUGCAUUGUGUUCUACAUAAAGUGUACCAUGUGAGGAUCUCAAAGGAGCAGCUGGAAAUGCCUCAGGCCAUUGCACAGUUUAGGCUGCAAAGCUUUAAAUAUUCUGCUUCUUCAACUCCCAUUGAGAAAGAGGUUUUGCUGCAGAGGAAAUGUGUGUUCCUCUGUCCAUCAGCUGGAGGUUGCACCACAAG